GAUGAACGCUGGCGGCGUGCCUAAUACAUGCAAGUCGAGCGAACAGACGAGGAGCUUGCUCCUCUUACGUUAGCGGCGGACGGGUGAGUAACACGUGGAUAACCUACCUAUAAGACUGGGAUAACUUCUGGAAACCGGAGCUAAUACCGGAUAAUAUAUUGAACCGCAUGGUUCAAUAUUGAAAGACGGUUUUGCUGUCACUUAUACAUGAAUUCGCGCCUCAUUAGCUAGAUGGUAAGGUAACGGCUUACCAAGGCGACGAUGCGUAGCCGACCUGAGAGGGUGAUCGGCCACACUGGAACUGAGACACGGUCCAGACUCCUACGGGAGGCAGCAGUAGGGAAUCUUCCGCAAUGGGCGAAAGCCUGACGGAGAAACGCCGCGUGAGUGAUGAAGGUCUUCGGAUCGUAAAACUCUGUUAUUAGGGAAGAACAAAUGUGUAAGUAACUAUGCACGUCUUGACGGUACCUAAUCAGAAAGCCACGGCUAACUACGUG
rnacentral:rRNA from 1 species